UACGUAGGGUGCGAGCGUUAAUCGGAAUUACUGGGCGUAAAGCGUGCGCAGGCGGUUGUGCAAGACAGAUGUGAAAUCCCCGGGCUCAACCUGGGAACUGCAUUUGUGACUGCACGGCUGGAGUGCGGCAGAGGGGGAUGGAAUUCCGCGUGUAGCAGUGAAAUGCGUAGAUAGUCGGAAGGAACACCAGUGGCGAAAGCGGCUCCUGGACCAGUAACCGACGU
rnacentral:rRNA from 1 species